rnacentral:rRNA from 1 species
GUGUCAGCAGCCGCGGUAAGACGAAGGAUCCAAGCGUUAUCCGGAUUCAUUGGGUUUAAAGGGUGCGUAGGCGGAUUUGUAAGUCAGUGGUGAAAGCCGAUAGCUCAACUAUCGAACUGCCAUUGAUACUGCAGAUCUAGAAUAUAGAUGAUGUUGGCGGAAUAUGACAUGUAGCGGUGAAAUGCAUAGAUAUGUCAUAGAACACCGAUUGCGAAGGCAGCUGACAAAACUAUUAUUGACGCUGAUGCACGAAAGUGCGGGGAUCAAACAGGAUUAGAUACCCCUGUAGUCC